CCUACGGGUGGCAGCAGUGAGGAAUAUUGGUCAAUGGGCGGAAGCCUGAACCAGCCAAGUAGCGUGCGGGAUGAAGGCCCUACGGGUUGUAAACCGCUUUUGUACGAGGAUAACCCCCUCCACUUGUAGAGGUCUGCAGGUACCGUACGAAUAAGGGCCGGCUAAUUCCGUGCCAGCAGCCGCGGUAAUACGGAAGGCCCGAGGGUUAUCCGGAUUAAUUGGGGUAAAAGGGUGCGUAGGCGGGCGUUCAAGUUAGGUGGAAAAUCGCGGGGCUCAACCGCGCCUCGCAGUUGAUACCGUGUGACUGGAGUGCAGGAGCGGUAAGCGGAAUGUCUGGUGUAGCGGUGAAAUGCGUAGAUAUCA
rnacentral:rRNA from 1 species